GUCUAAGUAUAAGCAAUUGUACGGUGAAACUGCGAAUGGCUCAUUAAAUCAGUUAUCGUUUAUUUGAUAGUACCUUACUACUUGGAUAUCCGUGGUAAUUCUAGAGCUAAUACAUGCUUACAGCCCCGACUUCUGGAAGGGGCGAGUUUAUUAGAUAAAAAGCCGACGUUGUUGGUGAUUCAUGAUAACCUUUCGAAUCGCGAGUAAUCGCGAUGGUUCAUUCAAAUUUCUGCCCUAUCAAUUGAACCGUAGGGUAGUGGCCUACGGUGAUUUCUACGGGUAACGGGGAAUAAGGGUUCGAUUCCGGAGAGGGAGCCUGAGAAACGGCUACCACAUCCAAGGAAGGCAGCAGGCGCGCAAAUUACCCAAUCCCGACACGGGGAGGUAGUGACAAUAAAUAACGAUGCGGGGCACGUAUGUGUUUCGCAAUUGGAAUGAGUACAAUGUAAAUACCUUAACGAGGAACAAUUGGAGGGCAAGCCUGGUGCCAGCAGCCGCGGUAAUUCCAGCUCCAAAAGCGUAUAUUAAAGUUGUUGCAGUUAAAAAGCUCGUAGUUGAUUUUCGACGCAUCUGAGGGGUCCACUUCGGUGCGUACUCUGAGGGUGCGUUUUCUCUGGGGCGCCUUUUGGCAAGCCAGACUGUUACUUUGAAAAAAUUAGAGUGUUCAAAGCGGGCGAUAGCUUGAAUAUAUUAGCAUGGAAUAAUAGAAUAGGACGGAUGGAUCUAUUUUGUUGGUUUCUAGAACCAUCGUAAUGAUUAAUGGGC
rnacentral:rRNA from 1 species